GGAAGAGUGGCAGAGUGGUCGAUUGCACCGGUCUUGAAAACCGGCGUUGGGAAACCAACCGUGAGUUCGAAUCUCACCUCUUCCGCCA
rnacentral:tRNA from 1 species